UGAAAAGUUGCAUAUCGCGGGGGCUAUUUGAUGCUCAUGUCCGGCACAGGAUGAUUUUGUGCUGGUCAAGGGUAGUCAAGUAUGGAGUGAACUAAGGGCUAUAUCUGUUCUUAGUUCUACACUACGCACUUCAGCACUCGUCGGUCCAAGGUAUUGUGUGUCAGGAAAGGGGAUAGAUACUGAAUGCAUUCAACUGAAAUGUGUCUUGCGCAUUUAACCAAACCCCCUCUGAAUCAGAGAGGUGAGGGGCUGCCUUAAACAACGUCAUCAGGGAGCAGUUGUUGUUUGGGGUUAACUGCCUUGCUCAAGGAGAGAAUGGCAGAUUUUUACACCUUGCUGGAUCUGGGAUCCGAACCAACAACCUUUCGGUUACUGGUCCAACGCUCUUAACCGCUAGGCUAGCUGUAGAUGGGUGAGGAGAAAUUUAUUUUUUCAUCCUUUUGGAGUUGUGGAAUAAGUCAAGCGGUAUGAAUAUUUUCUGAAGGUACUGUACACAUUCUUCAAGGUAAGAGUUUUGUUUUGAAAGAAGCAUGAAUGCGUGAAAUAACUACAUCAAAAAGAGAAACACUUGUAUGACAUGAUGGAGUCUUUGAUCAAAUUUACCACAGACUUUUGUCACCCAAGUGCUAACCCAAUCAAUGCAAUUGUUCCCUGCUUUCAACCUAUUCUUUUAAGCUGGGUAAAAACACUUAAGGGGGAUGUAACACACUCCUCUGUUCUGAUCCACUUAGCCUGAAAGGAUCAAACAGAUAUCAGAGGGCUUUUAGAUACCUCUCCUUUAAUUUAGCAUUUUAGUAGGGAGAAAUCAAAGCCUUGUUUACUUUAUUGAUUGUUCUUUCAACCAUUCAAAGCUAAAGCAAAUCCCCUUUUCUGUCUCUCUUGUCCAGCUGUACAUGCUAAGAGUAUAGUGGCCAUUCUUCACCUGUUGCUGUCUUAACACUUCAGAGUACCAAUCAGACUUCCUGACCACGUGUCCAUCCAAGUAGUGCUGGUUCAGAAAAGGGAGGGAAUUCUUCAGUCCCGCCAGAUCCAGGAGGAAAUCACAGGCAAUACAGGGAAUGUCAGCUCUCAGCUCGGCUCUCAGCUCGCCUCUUUUCUCAUUGAUAGAACUCGCACCCCUCACUCAAUCUGUUAUGUCAGAGAUAGAGAGAGGUUUACCUUAGUACACCUUAGUAGUACCUUAGUACGCCACAUGAUAUCAUUGCCUCUCCCAAAAACACAAUGCCAUCUUAUUUCCAAUAUUUAGUACUUAUACAUUUUUCUCUCUCAAAUGCAAUCCCUCCUGCAGCCUUUAUGAAAGGCUAUUUUCUGAAAUAACUGCAUUCUAUUAUAGGUGUUCAAGCACAAUUGUUUCGCCAGCAUCAGUGAACACAGUAGACCAUUGUAUGGACAGGGAUGUGUGGUUCCUUGCCAGUGUAGCACAGCCCCAGCUGAGGUUGGAGCGGUCCAGCAGGCCCAGAGCAGCUGGGGAGAUAAGUGGGCGCGCAGUGCGCUCAUAUUAUAGUCAUGGUCACAGGGUUGUUAUCAUACGACCUGGACUGCUGCCCAGCCCUGCCACUGUCAUUAGAGAUUACACCAUGAAGAGAAGGAGCGCUGUGCCUGUGUGUGUGUGUGUCCAAGCCAUCCCUUGUUAGCCUCCUUUGUCUGAUAGCUGUUGGGAUGUUGCAGCAGCCCCUUGACCCAACAUGCCUGGCUCCUCUGACAAUACCACAAUGGAGACAUCCAUUUUGUUAAAUGUUCACCUAAGUUAACAUAUUAUAUACACCACCAACAUUCCUGUUUAUCUGGUUGACAUAAACGUAUCAAUAGGACUUGUAGAAUAGAAGUAUGCUGUUAUAUAAAUGUAAUUCAGUUCUUUGUCAGCUGUCCUUGCAGACCAAAUGUAGGUUUCGAACUUGUUUUCUUAUCGUUUCCCUCAGGGCUUUAUCUGGGAGACAUGAGCGAGAUGCUUUCGAAGCCCUGUUUGACCAUGCUCCAGACAAGCUCAAUGUGGUGAAACAGGUGUGCAACGUGUCCUUCUCCUUUGAGCAAGAUGAAGUCUGGAGAGACCCAGACCCAGGCCUGAAGAUAUUGCGAACUGUGACCUCAAGUCCACGCUGAUGGUCCUGUAUAAUCUCUUCACCAGAUACAGAAAUGUGGACUGAAUAUGUGGUGUUGUUGGCACUCAUUUUACUGGUAAAUAUUCAAUUGCAAUUUUCACAAUUGCAUGCUUCAAGGGAAGCCUUUUAAUUAUGCCAAGAGCACUACGAACCAAUCCAGGACAUUAAGCAUUUAUAUUAUGAAACAACAAUUUAGCAAUAGAUUGUACCAAAUAUUGUAUGUGCCAUAAUAAUAACUAUAAAUUGUAUGUGCCAUGUUUUACUUGUCUGCAACUACACUAAAUAUACAUUACCAGUCAAAAGUCAGGACACAUCUACUCAUUUCAGGGUUUUUCUUUAUUUGUACUGUUUUCAACAUUGUAGAACAAUAGUGAAGACAUCAAAAC